rfam:Picea glauca, whole genome shotgun sequence.
UAUGUAUAUUUAAGUUGUUGCAAUUAAAAAGCUCGUAGUUGGAUCUUGGGUAUAUUGUACUACCUCACUUUUUACCCAAUCCUGGCAUGGGGAGGUAGUGACAAUAAAUAACAAUAUUGGGCUCAUCGAGUCUGGUAAUUGGAAUGAAUACAAUCUAAAUCCCUUAACGAGGAUCCAUUAGAGGGCAAGUCUGGUGCCAGCGGCUGCGGUAAUUUCAGCUCCAAUAGCGUA